UUAAAAUAAUUUGUUUUUGGAGAAAGAAAAAAAGGAAAAGAGAAAAACGAAGGGCAAAAAUGAAGGUGAAAUUACUAGAAUGUCCUGGUAGGAGCUAGGGUUAGUUACCACCCUAUAAAUACAAGAGGAGGCCGCAUUUGCACCGUGGAGGCGGCGGAAGACGAGAUAAAGAGAGUGCCGACGGUGAUUUUCGAGCAAGCAUGAGGGCCAAGGUCUGUUCUCUGAUCCUAAAUAAUGCAUUUCAUGUUAUCUUUUUCGGUUUUGUGUUGCUGUUCAGUUAUGUUUUUGCUUAAACUUCAAAUUUGCAAUUGUUAUUUGCUUGUAGUGAAACGAUUUGUGUAUGCUGUGAUGGAUUAAAGGAUUGGCUAUUGUUUUUGUUGAAGUUGUUCAUACACAUCGUAUUUUCAGUUACCUAUUUGAACGCAUUAUCUGAUUACUUGAUUAUAACUGAUGUGUCAUGCUUGGAGAUUUAUAAUACAUGAUUCAUGGUGAUUGGAAUACUUGGAGAAGAUUCAUUUAGCAUCUAGGAUGAUAGACCUUUCAAAUAGAGGAAUUACAAACCACAUAAGGUAGAAUGGAAGCUCACCAAUAGGAUAUAUUGUACAAUAGACUCGUUAAGGAAUUCUCGAAUUGGGAGGUUUAUGUACUUCGAUUCUGGAUUAUAAUGUACCACAAUGCUCAAUUACCCCUUGGGCCUUGACAACUUUAAUCUACAACAAUAGUGAUUAUAGGGAGUAGGGACUCGUGUUAGCUAGCAAACGUCUUAUGAGCAUAAAGCUCCAAGGUCUUUUACAAUGGUGUUUUUCCACAAUCAUCCUUUCUCCUAGCUCACACAAACUUCUUAUGAGAUCAACCAACAGACAAAACAGACUCCAACAUACACAAUCCCCUUCAAUUCAUCUCUUGCAAAAGUCAAGACAUGGACUCGUGGACGUAUGGCUGAUUGUUUAUCGAACCUUAGAAAUUUUUUACUUGAAUCCUUUGGGAAAGAUCCUUGAUUUUCCUAAAACUUGGGGAGAAAUUGAUGUUAGAAUCACGUAAUCAAUGAAGGAGUAGCCACUGAUCUUAGGAUUCCCUUACCUUGAAGGAGGAGGAGAGUGAGAAUUGGAGCUAUGGAACUUUGGUUCUAUGUGUGAAAUGAAAAUAUGAGCUCAAAAUCUAAUUAAUAUUUUGCCUCGGUGGACCUCACUUUCUAUUUUUACAUUGUCUUCUUGAUCCGAGCCAAAAAGGUUCGGAAAGGUGUUAUCCUUUAUGCAUUUGUUAACCCGUGGGGCAUUUUAUAUUAAUAUACACUCAGCUGCUUUACUAGUCAUACUUGUUUGUACCUUAUCAAACACCUUUCAAUAAAAUAUUCAAGUAUUUGUUUGAAGUUGGACCAUGUUGGGUCUUUCGAGAUGUAAUGUUGGGGUAGAAACAUUCUGAAAUCCUGCGUCUUCCAUGGGAGAAAGUAUUUGUUAGUCUUUAUUUUAGUAAAAAUGGGAAGGAAUGUGUUGGGCUAGUGUGUGCCCCGGAAUGUAAUAUAUAUUUUUUGGAUAUAGAUAUUUUGAAGAGUGUUGCCUUAGAGAUUUAGAGGAAAGCUGAGACAAUGUGAUGUGCUAUUUUAGCCUCUUUAGAUAACAACCAAGUGUUUGUGUCAAAACUCUGUUGGCACCGCAAUUUUGUGAGCAGGGAGUCAGCUAAGGUUUUGUUUUCUUGUACCCUUGUAGUUGUAACAUCCACUAAUGUUUUUAUUUUAAAUGCAGUGGAAGAAGAAGCGUAUGAGGAGACUGAAGAGGAAGCGCAGAAAGAUGAGACAGAGAUCUAAGUAGAGCAGCCAGGGUCCAGAUGCCUAGGGUGGUUUCUUGGUUGAAACUGCAGCCUUUUACUUUCGCUGUCCAUCUCUGUGGCAGCUCCGAAGAAUGGAGGUUGUCCGUUGUUUGAAGCUGUUCAUUAGUUAAUCUACUAUGUUCUAUGAAGGAGCUUAGUUUUAGUUUUAAGUAUUGCUAGUAAGGAUGUUGUGUUUUUAUGGUAACUUGCUAGUUUUGUCAACCAAAGAUAUAUGUGAGAUUAUCUUGAACCUUUUCUCUUUUAAGCUGACAAUAUUAAGAGGAUUUCUGUUUAUCUGGGCUACAUUUCAUUUGAAUAAAUUUUGGCUUUGAACGUUAAUACUUCAUGUGACGUUCUGAUGAUGAACAAGUGUGAAGUGAAACAGAUGACUGGUUUUGAUCUAGUAUGAUCAUGCUUGUGCUUGCUUGGUUCAAGAAUAUCAAGGCAUACUGAAUCUGAAUCAUCUUGAAGAGCAUCUAUCAUGUUAAUGCAAGUGUUUACACCACUUUAACGUACAAUAAGUCAAUUACUGAAUAAAUUGUAACUGCAUGAUUACUAGAAUCAACAAGAGGUUUACUUAAGAUUGAUCAGAACUAAAAUUUACCUUGGUGACUUUGUGCAAUAUAUACGUAUAACAUAAAAGAUGGAAAUUUUCAUUUAUCAGUCCAAGUCACAAAAAUAUCCACUAGCUCAAAUAUGUUAAAGGUUUACACACAUGUGGAAAAAGAAAUGUCUCAGUAAUCCAUGUUAGGCAAUACACCUUGGGGGACACUAAUUUUCUCAUGCUCGACAUUUACUUAGACUAACCAUGGGUGUCAUUUGAGCUGAGGGUCUAUGGAAACAACCUCCCUACCUUCAAAGGGUAGGGGUAAGGCUUCGUACACACCACCCUCCCCAUACCAUGUUGUAACGAUGGGUGUCAUUUGUGUAUGCUCCAGGCUUUGCCUCUUUCCUCAAGAGAAACUAUACUAAAGAGACUGAAGAAGGCACUAGGCCCCAAGGCUCUUACCAAUAUGGACUAUGGAGGUUCAGUUGAAGUUAGAAAACUGAAUUGGAACUGAACCUAAGAAAAAUUAAUAUUGACACUAAUGAAAAGAAUUUUGGGUUUUUCUACAUAUAAGACUCAGUUAAUAUACAAUGUUUCAAGGGGAAAGAAGCUGUAAGGUUUCACUUAGAAAGCAAAUGCUGUACGUUCUAGCAUACAAUAGGCAACUAGAAAGAAAGCUUUAGAUAAAGGAGAUAUACAGCUAUUUUUGUAACAGCAAUUGAGUAGCAAGAGCAAGCUAGUGAGAAUCAACAAGUUUCACCACUCACCUAUUUAAAGCCGACUAUGAAUCAAUCAACUACCAUAUCUGAAAACCAAUUAUCCCGAAGGUUUAUUAGUUGUGUAAAGUUCCCAUCAGACAUACAGCAUGAAAAUAAUUUUGUUGAUUUGGUGUAUUUAGCAUUUGCUGAUGAAUAACCUUUGUUAGUUUCUCAUUCUGUGACCACACGCCGUUGUUUUUUGUGAAAGAUCAGCAUACUGCCAUGUCCUCAAGCUCAUAUUGCAUAGCAAGUCUUUCAACAGUAUUUCUACUAAUUACUUCUUUCCGGUGCAAUUCCUUUAGGACUACUGAUGCAAGCUCCUUGUGAUCUUCAUGGAUGAUGCCUUCGACUAGAAUGGUAUAUGUUAUCUCAUUG
rnacentral:lncRNA from 1 species